rnacentral:rRNA from 1 species
GUGAAUGCUAGCGGCGUGCCUAAGGUAUGCAAGUCAAACCCCGCCUUUGGCGGAGUGGCGAACGGCUGAGUAAUACGUAGGAAUCUACCCUUAAGUAAGGUAUAACCCAUCGAAAGAUGGGAUAAUCCCUUAUGUGGUGGUAACACUAAAGAUUUAUCGCUUAAGGAUGAGCCUGCGGCCUAUCAGGUAGUUGGUGGGGUAAAAGCCUACCAAGCCUACGACGGGUAGCUGGUAUAAGAGUAUGACCAGCCAGAGGGGCACUGAGAUACGGGCCUCACCCCUACGGGGGGCAGCAAUCGGGAAUUUUGCGCAAUGGGCGAAAGCCUGACGCAGCGACGCCGCGUGAAGGAUUAAGGCCUUCGGGUUGUAAACUUCGUUAUAAGCACCGGCUAACUACGU